rnacentral:rRNA from 1 species
UACAGGGGGUGCAAACGUUGCUCGGAAUCAUUGGGAGUAAAGCGCACGUAGGCGGUUCGUUAUGUCGGAUGUGAAAGCCCUUGGCUUAACCGAGGAAGUGCAUCCGAAACUGGCGAGCUAGAGUACUAAAGAGGAUCGCGGAAUUCCCGGUGUAGAGGUGAAAUUCGUAGAUAUCGGGAGGAACACCGGUGGCGAAGGCGGCGAUCUGGGUAGAUACUGACGCUGAGGUGCGAAAGCGUGGGGAGCAAACAGG